ACCCCUCAGAUUCCUUACCCACCGGACCUACCCACUGGUCUGAGUGGUUAUCAAAGAAGGAAAAGACCUAGAGAGCAGAGAGUGCUCCUCAGAGUCGUGACGGGUUAGGCUGCUAACUGCCAGGC
rnacentral:snoRNA from 1 species